GGAGGGUGCGAGCGUUGUUCGGAAUCAUUGGGCGUAAAGCGCGUGUAGGCGGCUUGGUCAGUCGGGUGUGAAAGCCCGGGGCCCAACCCCGGAAAUGCACUCGAAACUGCCUCGCUAGAGUCCCGGAGAGGAAGGCGGAAUUCCCGGUGUAGAGGUGAAAUUCGUAGAUAUCGGGAGGAACACCAGCGGCGAAGGCGGCCUUCUGGACGGUGACUGACGCUGAGACGCGAAAGCGUGGGGAGCAAACAGGAUUAGAUACCCUGGUAGUCCACGCCGUAAACGUUGGGUGCUAGGUGUCGCGGGUAUUGACCCCCCUGCGGUGCCGUCGCUAACCGCAUUAAGCACCCCCGCCUGGGGAGUACGGUCGCAAGGCUA
rnacentral:rRNA from 1 species